rnacentral:rRNA from 1 species
UACGAAGGGGGCUAGCGUUGCUCGGAAUCACUGGGCGUAAAGCGCACGCAGGCGGCUUUCUAAGUCAGGGGUGAAAUCCUGGAGCUCAACUCCAGAACUGCCUUUGAUACUGGGAAGCUCGAGUCCGGAAGAGGAGAGUGGAAUUCCUGGUGUAGCGGUGAAAUGCGCAGAUAUCAGGAAGAACACCCGUGGCGAAGGCGGCUCUCUGGGACGGUACUGACGCUGAGACGCGAAAGCGUGGGGAGCGAACAGG